rnacentral:rRNA from 1 species
AACGAACGCUGGCGGCAGGCUUAACACAUGCAAGUCGAGCGCACUCUUCGGAGUGAGCGGCGGACGGGUUAGUAACGCGUGGGAACGUGCCUUUCUCUAAGGAAUAGCCACUGGAAACGGUGAGUAAUACCUUAUACGCCCUUCGGGGAAAGGAUUUAUCGGAGAGAGAUCGGCCCGCGUUAGAUUAGGUAGUUGGUGGGGUAAGUGGCCUACCAAGCCUACGAUCUAUAGCUGGUUUUAGAGGAUGAUCAGCAACACUGGGACUGAGAC